CAGUAUUCUUAAAGAGAACAUGAACAUUUUUGAGCUGUAUGUUCUUAGGGACAACUGUGCUUCGAUGUGGUCAGUCUCGUCACUUGUGAGUAGCUGUGAAAUCUUUAGUGUGCAUGUGUUUGCACCUCUGUGGUCUGUCAACGUGGCUGUCACUGAAGGAGCAAGAGACCAUCUUUUAGGAACCCUGCCACCAAAUAAUAAUAUAUCCAGGCUUAGACUUUGGAUUAAUGUUAAAUGUACAUUUUUUUGGUUCAGUACCUGAAGAAGAAUACUGAAACUUGAAUCUAUAAAUUCCUAUGGACCCUUUUAAUAUUAAACACAACAAAUUAAAAGUUGUUAUAGGUAAAAUAAGUUCAGAUAAAAUAGUGGUGGUAUUUAAAAUAAUAUUGCUGAAGUGCAGAUUGAAAUACUUUUUAAACAACUGAAGUUCUGAGUUUUUAUAGGGAAUUUCAUGUAACAAGACUGGUUUAGAAACGUAAAGUUGCGCAGUCAACAUAAAUAAAUACAGAAUGCCAUGUUCUCCACUUCUAAGUAAAGACAGUGGGCAGCUUCUGUUUCUCCUUCUAUCAAGGCAUCCUGACCACGGACAUCCAUAACAGCAAAGCACAAAUCGUUUUCGUCUGUAGUCAUAUCCUGAAACAUAGGUGGACAAAUUUUUAACUGAGAGACAAAAAUCACAUAGUUGAAUUGAGCAGAACACUUAAGUGCUUUCUGCAUCUAUUUAGGAGUCUAUUUCUUACCAAUAAACUUGACAACGCAUUUGGAAAACUAGUGAACACCUUACAGCUUUCAUUUUGCUUUAAUGUUUCAAUUCAAGCCGGUGUAAAAAUAAUUUCCAAGGCAUUUCUGUUUAUUCUUUAGUAAUCUCACUACUGGCUAUGUCAGCAAUAUCUUUUUCAAUCUGGUUCCUUUUGUAUAUGAUGUCACUGUGACCUCUUUGAAAUAUAGUGAUGGCUUUUACCUACUUUGAAAAGAAUUUUCACAUAGAGUCAG
rnacentral:lncRNA from 1 species